rnacentral:rRNA from 1 species
GAUGAACGCUGGCGGCGUGCUUAAUACAUACAAGUCGAACGGAGGUAUGUAGCAAUACGUAUCUUAGUGGCGAACGGGUGAGUAACACGUUGGUGACCUACCCCAGAGAGGGGGAUAACAGCUCGAAAGGGCUGCUAAUACCCCAUGUCGUCAUGGCGCUUAGAAAGCCAUGUCGAAAGGUGCAAACCGCUCUGGGAGGGGCCUGCGUCCCAUCAGCUAGUUGGUAGGGUAAUGGCCUACCAAGGCGACGACGGGUAGGGGACCUGAGAGGGUGACCCCCCACACUGGAACUGAAACACGGGCCAGACACCUACGGGUGGCAGCAGUAGGGAAUAUUGCACAAUGGGCGAAAGCCUGAUGCAGCAACGCCGCGUGCGCGAUGAAGGCCUUCGGGUCGUAAAGCGCUUUUCGGGGAGAUGAGGAAGGACAGUGUCCCCGGAAUAAGGAUCGGCUAACUACGUGCCAGCGGCCGCAGUAAGAC